rnacentral:rRNA from 1 species
AGAACGAACGCUGGCGGCAUGCCUAAUACAUGCAAGUCGAACGAACACUUCGGUGUUAGUGGCGCACGGGUGCGUAACGCGUGGGAAUCUGCCCUUGGGUUCGGAAUAACAGUUGGAAACGACUGCUAAUACCGGAUGAUAUCGAAAGAUCAAAGAUUUAUCGCCCAGGGAUGAGCCCGCGUAGGAUUAGCUAGUUGGUGAGGUAAAGGCUCACCAAGGCGACGAUCCUUAGCUGGUCUGAGAGGAUGAUCAGCCACACUGGGACUGAGACACGGCCCAGACUCCGUACGGG